UUAAAAAGUUACCAUUAAAGUUAUACGUGAUAACUCGCGAGCACGAGGUGUCUGCAACAGGACACCCGUGCUUUAACGGCAUAUGUUUCCGCCACACGAGGAAUUUUCAAGAACAACGUUGGCUGUACUUAGUUUACUGGCACACAGAGGAAACAGCUGUACAAUCAGGCUGCAGUUAAGAUUAGUAGCGGAAUCCCAAGCAAUUUUAUUAUAGAAGAUGAAACAACGUUGCAUGUCUUUCACACAACUCUUCGUCGUUGUUUUUUUAUUGUUUGAGGCAACUACAUUAAUAAGGGGAGAAGCGAACACGGACUCCAAGUCCCUUACACCGCAAUUCUUUAUAUUUAAUUCAACAUAUGAAGAAUACAAAUAUAUGUUCUCGGGUUUUCUCAGAGUAAUAGAAAACCUAAAGGCUGGAACUCCGGUGGAUUCAAGCAACUAUAUAUAGAAGUUGUGUUGUUGUUUUGUGAUUUCACUGCAUUUUUUAAAGUAGUUACCUGUGAUUGAAUAAGAUUAAAUGCCAAUGGUGUAAAAUGGAUUCUUUACUCUAUAAGUGCACAAUAUUUAUUACUGAAAAGACAAUCAAUUUCAAUCAAUUAAAUACACGUACCUGGUUAUAA